CCCAGACUCCUACGGGAGGCAGCAGUGGGGAAUAUUGCACAAUGGGGGAAACCCUGAUGCAGCGACGCCGCGUGAGCGAAGAAGUACCUCGGUAUGUAAAGCUCUAUCAGCAGGGAAGAAGAUGACGGUACCUGACCAAGAAGCUCCGGCUAAAUACGUGCCAGCAGCCGCGGUAAUACGUAUGGAGCAAGCGUUAUCCGGAUUUACUGGGUGUAAAGGGAGCGUAGACGGCAGCGCAAGUCUGAAGUGAAAUGCCGGGGCUUAACCCCGGAACUGCUUUGGAAACUGAGCAGCUAGAGUGCAGGAGAGGUAAGUGGAAUUCCUAGUGUAGCGGUGAAAUGCGUAGAUAUUAGGAGGAACACCAGUGGCGAAGGCGGCUUACUGGACUGUAACUGACGUUGAGGCUCGAAAGCGUGGGGAGCAAACAGGAUUAGAUACC
rnacentral:rRNA from 1 species